rnacentral:rRNA from 1 species
UGGGGAAUUUUGGACAAUGGGCGCAAGCCUGAUCCAGCAAUGCCGCGUGCAGGAUGAAGGCCUUCGGGUUGUAAACUGCUUUUGUACGGAACGAAACGGUCCCUUCUAAUACAAGGGGCUAAUGACGGUACCGUAAGAAUAAGCACCGGCUAACUACGUGCCAGCAGCCGCGGUAAUACGUAGGGUGCGAGCGUUAAUCGGAAUUACUGGGCGUAAAGCGUGCGCAGGCGGUUUUGUAAGACAGAUGUGAAAUCCCCGGGCUCAACCUGGGACCUGCAUUUGUGACUGCAAGGCUAGAGUACGGUAGAGGGGGAUGGAAUUCCGCGUGUAGCAGUGAAAUGCGUAGAUAUGCGGAGGAACACCGAUGGCGAAGGCAAUCCCCUGGACCUGUACUGACGCUCAUGCACGAAAGCGUGGGGAGCAAACAGGAUUAGAUACCCUGGUAGUCCACGCCCUAAACGAUGUCAACUGGUUGUUGGGUCUUCACUGACUCAGUAACGAAGCUAACGCGUGAAGUUGACCGCCUGGGGAGUACGGCCGCAAGGUUG